GGGGGGGGGGGUGGUCUUUUCCUCUGCCGUCGCACAACAAGUAGGGGAGAUAAUAAGGGGACCGUUCUCCUGUGCCGUGAUGCUUUUGAAGAAUCAGUCAAGAUGACAAAUGUUGCAGCAUGAAAAUAGUUUCAGAUGUCUACUUGCUAUUAUCUUGCCUUUGAUGCAUUCAGUAACUGUUUAAUACUUUUAUAUUAAUUCCAUAUGAAGUCUUGCUAGUUUUGAAGUGCCUAUAUUGUUGAAUGUUAUUAUGAAUGUGAUUUUAAAUCUA